rnacentral:rRNA from 1 species
UACGAAGGGGGCUAGCGUUGUUCGGAAUUACUGGGCGUAAAGCGCACGUAGGCGGGCUAUUAAGUCAGGGGUGAAAUCCCGGAGCUCAACUCCGGAACUGCCUUUGAUACUGGUAAUCUAGAGAUCGGAAGAGGUUAGUGGAAUUCCCAGUGUAGAGGUGAAAUUCGUAGAUAUUGGGAAGAACACCAGUGGCGAAGGCGGCUAACUGGUCCGAUACUGACGCUGAGGUGCGAAAGCGUGGGGAGCAAACAGG